CCGUACUGAUGUGUUACUGAGUUGAUGACAACAGCACUUCCGCGACCGCGCAGCGGUCGAACGAAAGUUUGCGCCUUGAAAGAUUCAUCAACGUUAUCUGGAACAUUUCGAAUAUCAUGAAAUGCUAAUGAGAUGCACGAGCCACCUGAUUCCUCAUAUUUCGAGACUUUAAAUAACACGUGUGCGACGACGAACGACAUGACUUGAAGGAAGAUAACCAACAUUUAAUCGCGACGAGUUAAAAAUCAAGCGUAUGGUAAUCGAUUCAAAAGUAGUCGCACACAUAUUCGACGUUUUGACUCGAUAUAUACUUUCGAAGCAGGACCGCGAUUCCGGUAGACGGACAACGGAGUCCUGUCGGUGAGAUCAAACGGGGCAACGAGGCGUCCGGAGCCAUUCCUGCGCCUCCCUCCAAACGCACCGGUGGUUUCGCACAGCAGCGCGACGCGACGCGACGCGACACGACGCGACGCGUUGCGGUCAGUCUUCGUCGAUCGUGUUGCUUGGUGUGUUUGUUUGUCGUGUUCGAGGAACACUUUGGUGAACAUCCGCAAGCCCGCGGGGACUGUGAGAGUGCGUGCGAGAACUGCGAGCAACGAGCGGAAACAUCCUCUCGGACUGUGCGAGUACUCGCGGCGCUCCCGUGUGUAUUACGUACAUGCUACAAUGUCUUUGGGAUCCUUCAACGAACGAUGACACGCCCGCAACGACGACAGUCGCGGACAGCCGAGCCGUUGUCGUGAGCGGAUGCUCGCGAAGACUGCUCCUCGAGGACGGCGCAUCAAUUCCCAGCGAGAACGAGGACGAGGACGACUACGACGACGAGGACGAGGACGACGACGACGACGACGACGACGACGACGACGGUGGUGGUCGUGGUGGUGAAGUAACACAGCCGAGUCGAACCACUCGUCGAUGGUACUGCUGUUGCGAUACGAGCACUGCUCCGCGGAUACGUCACAUUCGUGCGCCCGAUGUCGCAUAGAGGCUACCGCGGGAGCUAUAACUGCGAGGUUCAAUGUGACCUUGUAAAAACAAAAUAGACAGAUGACAACCUUCUCAAGAAAAAGGUAUGGCAAGCUUGAUGGUGAACGCCUCUAGUAAGAACAGCUCGCGCAGUGGGUCUCCUAGUAGAGCAACUUCAAUAUCCCAGCUACACCAGCAGCAAUCAACAGGAAGCUUGGAUCACACUCCACGAUUGCGUAAUGUUCCAAUUUCUCAAGCAGGAGAGGGUAGCACAGGCAGUGGAAGUAGUGGUGGUGGUGGUGGUGGUACUGGUACUGGAAGUGGUCUCAGUAUGAAGAACAGCAGUAGACAAAGAUCACCAGGAACUGUAAUUCGCAUGGGAGAUGCUAUGGAUGAACCAAGUAGUAAUCCAAACACUGCCGAACCAGAUGAGUUUGUGCCAAAUAUUCAUCCACCAACUGAUGAUGAAGGAGAACAAUAUCACACAACUCCAUCGUUCCUAUCGAAUGGCUCUUCUGAAUUGAUCGCCGACGAUGUUGAUUCUAGUGCAACGCGUGUUCGUCAAGCUAUUGAACAUAUUCAAAGUAAAAUUGCUAAGACGCGGGAGCUAAUAAGAAUAGAACAAACUACGCGGGAUGAAAAUGUCAAUGAAUAUUUGAAAUUAGCUGCUAACGCAGACAAACAGCAAUUAACAAGAAUUAAAACAGUAUUUGAGAAAAAGAAUCAAAAAUCAGCUCAUAGUAUCGCACAGCUGCAAAAAAAAUUAGACAGUUACACAAAAAAAUUGAAAAAUUAUGAGAUGAAUGGAGCACCCACCAGUCAUAGGCAACCAAGGGAAAUGUUACGGGACAUGGGACAAGGACUUAAACUUUUCAGAAACGUGGGAGGAAACAUCAGGGAUGGCAUCACUGGUUUUUCAGGGAGUGUGAUGUCUAAACCAAGAGAGUUUGCUCACCUUAUUAAAAACAAAUUUGGAAGUGCUGAUAAUAUAAAUACUUUAUCGCUUGAGAGUAAUGGCUCGACUUUUUAUGUAAACGAUACACCGCGUGCAGGUAAUGGUGAUAACACUAGCGUUGAAGAUGAUAAAACUCAUCACGGAUCGGCUACACUUCCUGGCGGGUGCAGUUUAGGGUCUACUCAUAGCGCAGCUGCUAUGAAGUUCCCAUCUGAGGAAGGAUCAGAGUGUUCUAGUGUGACCAGCGAAAGUGGUCCCGGCAGUAGAGGACAGCCGCACACAUGUCAUAGUAAUAACGCAGCCUUGAGCCUCAAAUCUAUUUUCUCAGAACUGCAAGAACAUCGGGAAAACCUCGACCGAAUGAGGGAAAAAUUAGAUACCGUAAAGGCGUUACAACAGGAGGUGACAUAUCUUUCUCAUUCUCUCCAAGAAGAACGUUUCAGGUGCGAACGUUUGGAAGAACAAAUUAACGAUUUGACGGAACUCCACCAGAACGAAGUGGAGAACUUGAAACAAACCAUUACAGAUAUGGAGGAAAAGGUGCAAUAUCAAAGCGAGGAUAGAUUGCGAGACAUACACGAGAUGUUGGAGAGCUGUCAAACUAAGAUCUGUAAGAUGGAACAUCAGCAGCAGCAGCAUCAGCAAUACGUAACCUUGGAAGGCUUGGAUAACAGCAAUGCCAGAGCAUUGGUUGUAAAAUUAAUAAAUGUAGUAUUAACAGUGUUGCAAGUUAUUUUACUCCUCGUUGCGACAGGUGCUGGUAUUAUGAUGCCUUUCCUCAGAACUAGCUGUACUAAGCCUCAUUGUUUCAUGUGCAGGGUGCGUAUAUUAACAACCACGUUUGUUGUGUUGGGCAUAGUAUUUGUGCUCAAGCAGUGGCCUGAGGUGCACGACGUUGGUAGUCAUCUCAUACGCCACCUUAAGCAGACCCUCGCCAUGAAGUAGCAUUGGUGGAAUACUUAAAUUUAAUCAAACCCUGUGAUGAAGCUGGGCUAUUGGAUAGAUUGAGAUUGAAACUUCGCAUCCGUUUAUCAGUGUUGUAGGAUUGGAGCAAUAAUAAGUUGUGUGCAAGAGGCGAAGUGAGAGGGUGUGAUGCACGCCAGAAUACUGUCUUCAGCUUUUACAACUGAAGAACUGUCCAAUCAUAAUUUGUCGGUG
rnacentral:misc_RNA from 1 species